GAUGAACGCUGUCUACAGGCUUAACACAUGCAAGUCGAGGGGAAACGACGGGGAAGCUUGCUUCCCCGGGCGUCGACCGGCGCACGGGUGAGUAACGCGUAUCCAACCUGCCUCUGACUGAGGGAUAACCCGUCGAAAGUCGGCCUAAUACCUCAUGGCAUCGUCUGCGGGCAUCCAACGACGAUUAAAGAUUUCAUCGGUCAGGGAUGGGGAUGCGUCUGAUUAGCUUGUUGGCGGGGUAACGGCCCACCAAGGCUACGAUCAGUAGGGGUUCUGAGAGGAAGGUCCCCCACAUUGGAACUGAGACACGGUCCAAACGCCUACGGGAGGCAGCAGUGAGGAAUAUUGGUCAAGGGGCGGGAGCCUGAACCAGCCAAGUAGCGUGCAGGAUGACGGCCCUAUGGGUUGUAAACUGCUUUUAGGCGGGGAUAAAGUGAGGGACGUGUCCUUCAUUGCAGGUACCGCAUGAAUAAGGGCCGGCUAAUUCCGUG
rnacentral:rRNA from 1 species